rnacentral:misc_RNA from 1 species
GUGAAUCAUCGAAUUUUUGAACGCAAAUUGCACUCUCUGGUAUUCCGGUAAGUAUGCCUGUUUGAGGGUCAGUUUAAUAAUAAUCGUUGUUGUUGCUUCCUUUCGUGUUGACGCUUCGGCACUUGGUCUUUUUACCUUCGGUUAAGUUACUUAAAAUUUGUGCUUGUUCUUCGUACGUAUUUAAAUCGCUUACUUACUUUUGUGAUAUUUAAUGCUUAUUAGGUUCGGUCAUUCCCAUACUUGGUGCCUAUAAUUUUUUCCUUGAAUGACA